rnacentral:misc_RNA from 1 species
AAUUGUUAAUAGCAAGUAGAUUUAAGAUUUGUUUUUAUUGCAGCAUAUGCUCUAAUUUGCCACCAAUGUUAUUAUAUAUUCAUUUAUGUACUGAAAAUACUGUCUAAAAUACUGACCAAUAUAAUGCUUGCAAAAAUGGUUUGUUUUUUUAAUUUAAUAUUUUUACAUAAUGUUGUUAUAUAGCUAGAAUAUGCUUUGUAUUGUAUGUAGUUAAAGGGGGAAAUUCCCUAAAGUAUGCCAUAUAAACCCAGAAGUUCAAAUGUAUAAAAACUGUGUAUAGAAAUGUACAGUUAUGUGUUGUGUGAACAUUUGAAUGACCUACAUAUAAUAACUAGAAUUUAUUUAUGAUCACUCCUUAGGAAAAAUAGUUUACGCAUAUUAUCAUACAUAAAUGUACUUGCAAUGGAAUUUACAAAGUUUAUGUAUAUGAUUUAAAAAUGCAAAUUUUAAGUUGGGGAGCACUGAUUUCUUGCCAGUAAAAGUGUUAUUACCUUU